AAAACACGUCUAGAGGCUUUUGUGAUCCACUUGCUAUGUGAAUGGAAGCUUGAAAGAAUUGCUGCUGCAACCACUUAAGCUUCCUUCAAAUUUCUUAGGACCAGCUGUUCUUCGUAUUUCCAGUGUUUGAUAGGAGAAAUAAUCAGAUUGCUCUAUUCCUACAAGACAGCACUGAUCACUCCCCGAUAAAACUGGCUAGAGAUAAGCAGUUGAUAUUGUCUCGUGAUGCUGGACCCUGGCAGCAAGCCACAGCUCCCUCCCCAUCAGCCACGCCACCACGAGGGUCAAACAACUGAUAUACUUAGCAGUAAUUCUAUACCCAUCCAGUGUUCUGUUUUUCACUUUCAGACAAUAAAAUGAAGAAUACAUAGAAGGAAGGAAGG